rnacentral:lncRNA from 1 species
ACUUAAUAGACAUUAACCUAUCAUUCACUCGCCUAACCUCGAUCACGGACUCCCUUAGAUCCCUAUCCACCAAGAUGCCCACUCCAUUCUUACCUCUCACGACCCCAGUAUACCACAGCUUAAACCCGUCUACAUUCCUCGCCUUCGACCCUUUCUAGCUAGUCUCCUGGACACAGGCUAUGUUAAUCCUCCUCUUCUGAAGAACCUUCGCC